UCGUCACUUUUCCUCUCUCCCCAAACCGUCUCAACCUGCAACAAAGAGCGACUCGCGACCAUGGAGAACCCAUCUCCAGCCACUACGAUCAUGACGGACUACCAUCAUCGCGUCUCAAUGGUUCAGGAUCUGAUCAAUAUCUAUUUGAGUUUUAUUGAAAUUUCAAGCCUUGGUCAAGAUACACAGGGUUUUUUUUAGCGUCUCUAUUUUUUUUUGGGCUAUGGCAUUUUUCUUCAUCGGAAUACUCACUUCUCAAUUUGAAGGUACGAUAAUAAUUCGUGAACAAGGAUGUGUUACAAUUUAUCCCUGACAAUUCAUUUUGCUUCUCCUUGUGUUGGUUUAUUCAUUAUUUGUUGUUGGGAUUAAUUUUUUGUGUAUAGCCAAGUAAGUUAGCUAUCUAAUUUUCUUCUUCGAGAAUACUAGCUUUAGGUGUACGAAAUGUGUCUUUGUUUCAACUACUUUGUUCAGCUUUUUUUUUUUUUGGUCAGCACUACUUUGUUCAGCUUGUAGACCACUCUUUUUGCCUCUUGAAUCAUCCUUCUUAUGCUCUUACUCUAUAUACCUCCUUAGUGCAGCCACAAAAGACUCUUUGAAAGACUGUUGGGCUAACUACUUUUUGGUAGCUAGCUACAAUUAUUCAACUCUUGCAUGUAAGUUCACUGUGUACUUUUCUGUUUCAAUAAUGAUAGCUUCACGCGUACGGAUUGUAUCUUUGUUUCAACUACUAUGUUCAAUUUGUAGACCACUCUUCUGCCUCUUGAAUAAUCUUGAAUGAUCUUUAUGACUCCAUAUCCCUCUUUAGUGAUGCCACAUCGUUCAUGAUGAUGUUGUAGCAAGGAUGAAGGCGAUGAACUUAGAAACUACAAAUUAAUGAAAAGAGGAGAAGUCAAAAAGAAGAUGCCCAGAAGAGUUGCAUUGAGUAAGAUAUUCUCUUCUACUGAUGGCUCCAUCAACUUCUUCUAUUACUAUCCUAAUAGCAGGGACGAUGUUUUAAUGGAGUAUCAGGAUGUUGGUUAUUGACUAUGAAGAUCAAAGUUGGAUUUUGGUUGUGGACGUGCUUGGAUUUUUUUGUUAUCCGUUUGCAUGUUGAAGUUGAUUGUCCACGGGGUUUGGAUACAUUUUGUUAUUGAGCUUCGAUUUUUUUUCCCCCCUGUGGUGAACAUGUUGUUAUUUUGCACUCUAGGAAUUUGGAUACAAGUUAUUUUUUAACUAUUUGGUGGACACCUCUCUAUUUAUGAAAGUUUGUAUUUAUUUCUUG